GUUUAAGACAGAUAGCAUUUACAGUGUUAAGACAGAUAGCAUUUACAGUGUUAAGACAGAUAGCAUUUUCAGUGUUAAGACAGAUAGCAUUUGCAGUGUUAAGACAGAUAGCAUUUUCAGUGUUAAGACAGAUAGCAGUUUUAAGCGUUAAGACAGAUAGCAUUUUCAGUGGUUUAAGACAGAUAGCAUUUGCAGUGUUAAGAGAGAGAUAGCAUUUGAAAAACAGAGUAAAGCUUGUGAGAGGACAUAUCCAUUGAUAUAGGACAUGUCUCAAAUGCAUAGCAUUCUAUUCCCUAUAAUAUUGUAGUGCACUACUUUUGACCAGGACUCUGGUUUAAAGUAGUGCACUACAUAGGGAAUAGGGUGCCAGUUGGGACAAACGUAUUUAGGUUCUGUAUGACCAGCAGCAUUCCUUGUGGGUGUCGUACGUGACUACUCCAACGUCUUCCUUCUUAUGCUCGUUUACAACAUGGUCUCAUUCGAAUGAUGUCAAAAUAGUGACAUUCAACCAUUGUGGGUAUACUGCAUGUCCCUUGUGCUGCAGGGUGGAAAAGUCAAACAUUAUUUUGAGUGAUUCAAUUGAGUGAACCUUUGGAUGAAUCCUUGAAUAAAGGGAAACAUAUGAGUGCUUGAUACCAACUACGCGUCUUCAUGUUUUUGACAAACACAACACAGUAAUACAUUCUGCCUGUGGCGUAAUCCUACUUCGACCAAAAUGGAAAAUCAAUUACCAUAGUUUCCCUAGAUCCUAAAACGAAAACAAGGAAACACAUCUGAGUAAUUGAUACCCAACUAUCCUAUACAUCAUCAGUUAUUGAUAUUACAAAUGAAACGUAAUACAUUAUAAUGCCUGUUAGUGAUAACUGGACUGUGAACACUGUGAAAUCCAUAAAAACAAGUUUAAAAAAAUAAAUAAACAGAUGGUGAUAACGCAGAUAAACGAAUAGUGUGUUUAUGAGUGUCACCCUGUGUUCCAUUUGAAGAAU
rnacentral:lncRNA from 1 species